AAGAUCUCUUGGAUUUUUGGAUUUAGCGCUCCUUGUUUUCUGAUCAUUUUCUAAGUAUAUGUUUCGUCUUAUAAUAAAUUAUGGCGAUGCUAGGAAUUUCUGUCUUGAUCGUUCUCUGUAUGAGUUGCAUCACCAUUUGUGCAGGAAGUACAGAUUGUGACAGUGGACAUCAUCUAUACCAUUUCAUUCACCUACCGGAUGGUGCCAACCUCUCCAGCGUUAUUACUACGAGUUUGGAUACCGAGCAUGUACACUUUUUGUUCACGUCAGGUAUUUCGAAUGGCGAUUUAAUUGACAUUAAAUUUGAGGAGAAAUCUCAAUAUGUAUUCACGGUUACCGGUAAAGUUGAAAGUGGACCGUUUGAAGUCAGUAAACCGCUUGAUGAGAUCGAAAUACUAUAUGG